rnacentral:rRNA from 1 species
ACUGCGAUGUCCGGGACUUCGGUCUCGUGUCACGCGUUCGCUGCGGUAUGUCCGGCGUUGUCGUCGUGCACUUCUCCCCUAGUAGGACGUCGCGACCCGUUGGGUGCCGGCCUACGGCCCGGUUGGUCGACUGUCGCGUCGCGUUCACGCGUGUACGCGGCAGACCACCGGUCGCCCGGCCAGCUGCCCGGCGGUAUAGAUCGCUAUAAAACGGUAUUGGGCCGCAUUAAGUGCGUUCUGGCCCGUCGGCAGACACCUCACGCUCGGAUUUGCGGACCUAGCGCCGUUGCCGGGUGCUUGUCGUGUCGUUAGUCGACGGUGUCCUCGGACUGGCUCUUACAUUCGAACGGAUUUACCGGUCGGCGACGCUACUGCUUUGGGUACUUUCAGGACCCGUCUUGAAACACGGACCAAGGAGUCUAACAUGUGCGCGAGUCAUUGGGACUUGUUAAGCCUAAAGGCGCAAUGAAAGUGAAGGUCGACCUUAGCGUCGACCGAGGGAGGAUGGCUCGCGUCACGAUGCGAGCCCGCACUCCCGGGGCGUCUCGUGCUCAUUGCGAGCAGAGGCGCACCCAGAGCGUACACGUUGGGACCCGAAAGAUGGUGAACUAUGCCUGGUCAGGACGAAGUCAGGGGAAACCCUGAUGGAGGUCCGUAGCGAUUCUGACGUGCAAAUCGAUCGUCGGAACUGGGUAUAGGGGCGAAAGACUAAUCGAACCAUCUAGUAGCUGGUUCCCUCCGAAG